GUAAAACCUCCAGGCACACGGGACAGCAGAACUGGUCCUCUUCAACAGAAAUCGUUGCGGUUGCCAUCGCAAGAGCUGAAACUGGAAAAGGACAGUGAUGGGCGUGGCUCGCAGGUGACAGCUUCUCAGGUUACACCUGCUUCAGUCUGAAGGUGCCCUAUCAGCUUGGAAAAGCUCACAAAGUAGGCCGUCCCAGACCCACCUCUGCUGAGUACACACCAGAUAUAAAGACCUCAAAGCAUCCUCUUGAUCUCUCUGCUGGAAAACGGCAUCUUGUUUACACUGCAUAAAAACCUGAAACUAUCCUGGUGCCACACAAGACCAAGAAGGUGCUGACUGCAGGUGAGGUGCGGAGGGGGCAGCACAGAAUGUCUAAUCAGGAAGUCGGAUAUAAAAGGAGGAUGGAGACACCACACUACGCCGGAUGAUUGCUCCAGUUUAGGUAGCCCCAGCCACUUGUAUUUGUUUGCUCGCUUGACUCGUUUUGGAUUAUUGGAUUUUGUGGAGGUUCCUCCAGCCAUUUCUCAGUGUUAGUAUUAUUUAAACAUCUUUUUCCACACGCUGGUUUACUAUUUCAUUUUGGCAAUAUUGUAAGAUGGUUACUAAUGGGUGCACACAUUUAGUAAUUUAUCUUACACAUAGUAUUUUUGAUCAUUAACUAUUUUCAUUUGUAUUCCUGAGAUUGGAUGAACUGGCAGAGAGAGGGGACACGCCCAGUGUAACUCCAUGCAGGAAGUGGAACAUUCCAUCUGGCUCCUGGAAGCAGGGGACUUGAUAAUGAAGAAACCAGAAACCAGACAUUCUGAAGCUCUUGAGUUUACCAGAUUUUGUUAGGAUGUAUUAGUUAAACUUUUUUUGUGGUAGUUGUACUUUGCUGACUUACCGUAGUUUCUUAGGUUUAUUUACUGUUUGUCUUAGUGUUUCCCUUGUCUCUCCCCUCCUCGUUGUCUGUAGGCUAGCCUGUGUGUAUAAAUUCCCCUGUGUGUCUCAGUUUAGGGAGAGUCUUGCUUGUUACUUUUAGUUAAGGUUAUUUUUGUGGCCAUUUUUUCCUUUGGGCCCGUUUUUGUUUUGAUUUUGUUUAAUUCUUUAUGAAAUAAAUGGAGAAAAUAUUCUUUUUA